CACGUAGGGCGCAAGCGUUGUCCGGAAUUAUUGGGCGUAAAGAGCUCGUAGGCGGUCUGUUGCGUCCGCUGUGAAAACUCGGGGCUUAACCCCGAGCCUGCAGUGGAUACGGGCAGACUAGAGGUAGGUAGGGGAGAAUGGAAUUCCCGGUGUAGCGGUGAAAUGCGCAGAUAUCAGGAGGAACACCAAUUGCGAAGGCAGCUCGCUGGGACGUGACUGACGCUGAGACGCGAAAGCGUGGGGAGCAAACAGG
rnacentral:rRNA from 1 species